rnacentral:tRNA from 1 species
CCGCCGAUCGUCUCGAAAUCCGUAAGGCGAGACUGUAAAUCUUGAGGUCGCUGGUUCGAUCCCGGCUCGGGGGA